CCUACGGGUGGCAGCAGUGAGGAAUAUUGGUCAAUGGGCGAGCGCCUGAACCAGCCAAGUCGCGUGAGGGAGUACUGCCCUAUGGGUUGUAAACCUCUUUUGUCGGGGAGCAAAAGCCGGACGUGUUCGGCUGUGAGAGUACCCGAAGAAAAAGCAUCGGCUAACUCCGUGCCAGCAGCCGCGGUAAUACGGAGGAUGCGAGCGUUAUCCGGAUUUAUUGGGUUUAAAGGGUGCGCAGGCGGAUUUUUAAGACAGCGGUAAAAUCGUGGGGCUCAACCCCAUCCAGCCGUUGAAACUGGGGAUCUAGAGUGUGCGAGAGGUAUGCGGAAUGCGUGGUGUAGCGGUGAAAUGCAUAGAUAUCACGCAGAACCCCGAUUGCGAAGGCAGCAUACCGGUGCACAACUGACGCUCAGGCACGAAAGCGUGGGUAUCGAACAGGAUUAGAUACCCUUGUAGUC
rnacentral:rRNA from 1 species